rnacentral:rRNA from 1 species
CUGAUGCAUGCAACGAGUACUGACCUUGGUCGGAAGGCCUGGGUAAUCUUUUGAACGUGCAUCGUGAUAGGGAUAGAUUAUUGCAAUUAUUAAUCUUGAACGAGGAAUUCCUAGUAAACGCGGGUCAUCAGCUCGCAUUGAUUACGUCCCUGCCCUUUGUACACACCGCCCGUCGCACCUACCGAUUGAAUGAUUCGGUGAAAAUUUCGGACUGUGGCUCGUUCGCUUCACUGUGGCUUGCA